rnacentral:rRNA from 1 species
UACGAAGGGGGCUAGCGUUGCUCGGAAUCACUGGGCGUAAAGGGUGCGUAGGCGGGUCUUUAAGUCAGGGGUGAAAUCCUGGAGCUCAACUCCAGAACUGCCUUUGAUACUGAAGAACUUGAGUUCGGGAGAGGUGAGUGGAACUGCGAGUGUAGAGGUGAAAUUCGUAGAUAUUCGCAAGAACACCAGUGGCGAAGGCGGCUCACUGGCCCGAUACUGACGCUGAGGCACGAAAGCGUGGGGAGCAAACAGG